GGGUCGGUAGCUCAGCCAGGUAGAGCAUGGGAAUGCUCCUAAAGCAUCGGGCUUUUAACCCGGGGGUCGCGGGUCCGAAUCCCGCCCGACCCG
rnacentral:tRNA from 1 species